UCCCUGGUAGUCUAGUGGUUAUGAUUCGGUGCUCUUAGCGCCGCAGCCCGGGUUUGAUUCCCGGUCAGGGAA